GUAUAAUUAAGCGGAGGACUAGAAAAUAACAGAAAUUUCCUGAAUAGUGGCGAACGAAAAGGAAACAGCGCGUCGUGUAAAUCGGGUUUCCAUAAUCCGAGUUGUACAUGACUACUAACAAUAUCCAAAACCAGAUGGAGGUGUCUGGAAAGUCCCCCCAUUGACGGUGAAAGGCCGUACAUCUGUCAGAGGAUAGUGUCGUUAGUAGUAAGCAGAGUCACAUUCUUUGGGCGUAGAAUGUAAAAUGGGUGGUAACUAUCAUCCAACGCUAAAUAUUGCAAGGAGACCGAUAGCGCACAAGUA
rnacentral:rRNA from 1 species